UUUUAAGAGGUAAGAAAUUUUAUUUAUUUAUUGGGAAAAAACCUAAUAAAAUAAAAUAAAAUAAGAUUUUUGAGGGUUGAGGGUUGAGAGAGAAUCCAUGACCUAUAAAAAGCCUUGUUCCCCCACUCCAAACGAUUUAGGUUAUAAUAUUCAGAGAAAGCGAAAACAAAUAAAACAAAAAGACGAGAAAACCAGUUGUAAUUUCUAAAACAAGAGAUUCAAAUGCGGAAUCGCUGAAGGAGAAGAAACAGAAGGUUCGAGACAUCAUCCAUGGCAGACAGGCAGAGCAAGGAGAACACAAGCAAAAGGAAGAACGGGGAGAACCAAUCUUUGCUUCUGGGGCGGUACGAGAUCGGGAAGCUUCUGGGGCAUGGGACAUUCGCCAAGGUCUACCACGCCAGGAACGUCGGAUCCAACGAGAGCGUGGCCAUCAAAGUCAUCGACAAGGAGAAGAUCCUCAAAGGCGGUUUGAUCGCACAUAUCAAGCGCGAGAUCUCCAUACUCCGCCGCGUUCGCCAUCCCAACAUCGUUCAAUUGUUUGAAGUCAUGGCCACCAAGGCUAAGAUCUACUUCGUCAUGGAGUACGUCAGGGGCGGAGAGCUCUUCAAUAAGGUCGCCAAAGGCCGCCUCAAGGAGGAGGUCGCUCGCAAGUAUUUCCAGCAGUUGAUCUCCGCCGUCGGCUUCUGCCACGCCAGAGGGGUCUACCACCGCGACCUCAAGCCCGAGAAUCUCUUACUGGACGAAGCCGGUGACCUCAAAGUCUCCGAUUUUGGGCUUAGCGCUGUCUCUGAUCAGAUGAGGCAGGAUGGCCUGUUCCACACCUUUUGUGGGACUCCGGCGUAUGUGGCACCUGAGGUUUUGGCCCGGAAGGGCUAUGACGCAUCCAAGGUUGAUAUAUGGUCGUGCGGUGUGAUACUCUUCGUCUUGAUGGCUGGGUAUCUCCCUUUCCAUGAUCAGAACAUCAUGGCCAUGUACAAGAAAAUCUACAAGGGUGAAUUCCGAUGCCCUCGGUGGUUUUCGCCGGAGCUCGCUCGGCUUCUUACUCGGCUCCUCGAUACGAACCCGGAAACCAGAAUUACAAUUCCGGAGAUUAUGGAGAAUCGGUGGUUUAAGAAAGGUUUUAAACAUAUUAAAUUUUACAUUGAGGAUGAUACGCUUAGACUCUGUAAUGCUGAGGAGGCUGAGGAUGAUGUGGAGUCUUUGUCGGAUCAAUCUAUGUCAGAGUCGGAGUCGGAGUUGGAGACUCGGAGGAGGCUUUCUACAUUGCCAAGACCGGCGAGUUUGAAUGCAUUUGAUAUUAUAUCAUUUUCACCAGGUUUCGAUCUCUCUGGAUUGUUUGAGGAGGGAGGUGGAGACGCGCGAUUUGUGUCGGGUGCACCUGUAUCGAAGAUUAUAUCAAAAUUAGAGGAGAUUGCCAAGGUGGUGAGCUUUACAGUGAGGAAGAAGGAUUGUAGGGUGAGCUUAGAGGGAUCCAGAGAGGGGGUGAAGGGGCCAUUAACGAUUGCAGCUGAGAUUUUUGAGUUAACGCCCUCAUUGGUGGUGGUGGAAGUUAAGAAGAAAGGAGGCGACAAAGGGGAGUAUGAGGAGUUCUGUAAUCGUGAAUUAAAACCCGUGUUGCAGAACCUUGUUGAUGACUCUGCUGCUUCUUCACAUUUUCAAAACUCCUUGCACAAAGGAGAGUGUGGGCAACUUUCUAAUCUGGAAUUGGAGUCUGGAUUGAAGAACCUUGUGGUGGAUGACUCUGCUUCUACACCACAUUUGCCCUCAGAUACUGAAUAGAAAGGAGAGAGAGAGAAGGGAUAUGUUCUCCACAAGAACAAAUUUAGGUUUUGCAUUGUCUUGAAAAAGCCUUUGAUAUGAUGACAGGAGGGAGCAAAUCUUCAAAAAUGUGUAACACAACAUGGCCUGUGAAUUCACGAGGCACGAUUAUAGUUUUGCCUGAGAUCGAAACUUCUCUUUGGCAUUACUGAAAGAAGCCCUCUCUUGUGACAAGGAAAACAUUAGUAAUUGUUUUCUUGCUUAUUCUGAAUGAUUCCCAAUUUGGGGAAAUUUUUUUUGUGCAUGUUAAUCUUCUUUUGUUUUAUACAUCAAUUAUAUACAUGAAAUCCUACUUUGAAGGUAGGGUCCUACUACAGUACCAAAGGUACUUUUUAGAAAAGGUACCACCAAUUAAGUGAUGCCAUGUAUACACUCCGCGGCCCCAUGGUUUUUGUACUUGAGUUUCAUUCUUUUAUACCUUGCAUCUUAAUCUCAUAUCAUUUUCUCACUUA